CCCUUUUGUGCUUCCUGAUUGCCAAU
rnacentral:piRNA from 1 species